rnacentral:rRNA from 1 species
CGAUGCAAUCGUACUAGCACUAAACCACCGGAUCCCAUUAGAACUCUGAAGUUAAGCGUGCUUGGGCGAGAGUAGUACUAGGAUGGGUGACCUCCUGGGAAGUCCUCGUGUUGCAUUCC